rnacentral:rRNA from 1 species
UACGUAGGUGGCAAGCGUUGUCCGGAAUUAUUGGGCGUAAAGCGCGCGCAGGCGGUCCUUUAAGUCUGAUGUGAAAGCCCACGGCUCAACCGUGGAGGGUCAUUGGAAACUGGGGGACUUGAGUGCAGAAGAGGAAAGCGGAAUUCCACGUGUAGCGGUGAAAUGCGUAGAUAUCUGGAGGAACACCGGUGGCGAAGGCGGCAUCCUGGACCAAUUCUGACGCUGAGGAGCGAAAGCCAGGGGAGCAAACGGG